AUUGAACGCUGGCGGAAUGCUUUACACAUGCAAGUCGAACGGCAGCACGGGGGCAACCCUGGUGGCGAGUGGCGAACGGGUGAGUAAUGUAUCGGAACGUACCCAGUCGUGGGGGAUAACUAUCCGAAAGGAUAGCUAAUACCGCAUACGUCCUGAGGGAGAAAGCGGGGGACCUGCAAGGGCCUCGCGCGAUUGGAGCGGCCGAUAUCGGAUUAGCUAGUUGGUGAGGUAAAGGCUCACCAAGGCGACGAUCCGUAGCGGGUCUGAGAGGACGACCCGCCACACUGGAACUGAGACACGGUCCAGACUCCUACGGGAGGCAGCAGUGGGGAAUUUUGGACAAUGGGGGAAACCCUGAUCCAGCCAUUCCGCGUGAGUGAAGAAGGCCUUCGGGUUGUAAAGCUCUUUCAGCAGGAACGAAACGGUCGGCUUUAAUAAAGUCGGCUAAUGACGGUACCUGCAGAAGAAGCACCGGCUAACUACGUG
rnacentral:rRNA from 1 species